GGAAGGAUGAGAAGCUUCGACCAAGGUUCGACUCGAGCGCCAGCGAGAGAGCGUUGCCGCAGGCAACGACCCGAAGGGCGAAGCGCGCAGCGCUGAGUAAUCCUUCCCCCACCACCA
rnacentral:sRNA from 1 species